GCCUGGAUGGCUCAGUUGGUUAAGUGUCUGACUUUGGCUCAGGACGUGAUCUCACAGUUUGUGGGUUUGAGCCCCAUGUCCAGGCU
rnacentral:tRNA from 1 species